rnacentral:rRNA from 1 species
AGCGAACGCUGGCGGCAGGCCUAACACAUGCAAGUCGAACGGAUCCUUCGGGAUUAGUGGCGGACGGGUGAGUAACACGUGGGAACGUGCCCUUUGGUUCGGAACAACUCAGGGAAACUUGAGCUAAUACCGGAUGGGCCCUUCGGGGGAAAGAUUUAUCGCCAUUGGAGCGGCCCGCGUCUGAUUAGCUAGUUGGUGAGGUAACGGCCCACUAAGGCGACGAUCAGUAGCUGGUCUGAGAGGAUGAUCAGCCACACUGGGACUGAGACACGGCCCAGACUGCUACGGGAGGCAGCAGUGGGGACUCUUGCGCAAUGGGCGAAAGCCUGACGCAGCCAUGCCGCGUGAAUGAUGAAGGUCUUAGGAUUGUAAAAUUCUUUCAGCGGGGACGAUAAUGACGGUACCCGCAGAAGAAGCUCCGGCUAACUUCGG